CGAGGCUGCCUGCCGGGCUCCGGGGGCGGCAGCUCCUCCACGCCGCGUCGUCCUGGUCCACUCGUCCCGGGCGCGGAGCCCUGGGCUGUGGCCGCCGCCGCCUCAGACGGAGGACGCCCCGUGGCGGCUGGAAGCCUGUAUAAAGAAUGAAAAAUUAGCCCAAGGACACCACUCAGUGGUAGAAUUAACAUAUACAAGGCCCUGGGUUUAUGCCCUGUUGCUGCAUUAAAUGAAGUCUUAUGAUAAUAUAUUUUUAUCACAUUUUGAAUAAUUACAGAAUGGACAACCAUGGAUCCACUAAUGUGCCCAUUAUCAACACGUGGCAGCUCAGUUUUAUUAUCCUGUAUGGGAAAGAAAAAAGUAGAGCCACCAAGUUCCAGAUGCUACCAUGAUGCCAACUGGACUUCCCUGGGCAGAGGACCUCACCUAUGGAUCCUGGAGUCCCACUUCCCCAGAUCCUGGCCUCACUAGGGAAAGAUAGAGACAAGCUUGGAGUAUGGAUCAACUUGCCAAUGCCCAUGUACAGCAGAAAAGCAAUUACAGGAGCAAGACCUUCCACCUUCUCUACCCUAUAAUGAUCCUGGGUCCAUGCUCCCAGAGGGAUAAAGAAUAGGAAAGCUUUCAAGGAAGGGAAUGUGAUAUGGAACUCUGGUAGUGAGAAUUAUGUGGAAUUGUAUCCCCUUACCCUAUGAUCUUGCUGGUAUUUUAAUUUUAUAAAUAAAUUUAUAAAGAAAAGAAAACAAAAAAUGGCUACCAGGAGCACUUAGUUCCUAGUGCUGGCACUAAGCCCUUAUGAUAACCCUAAUGGCAAUUAAAAAAAAAAAAAAAAAACUUCUAGGUUGUUACAGUUAUACCUGGUUGACAAAGUGCACCAUGUACUGCGAUGGUUUGGACAAAGAUUUAGCUGUCCAGCCUUUGAUGGAAUGCUGGUGCACACCACAAAGACAGAACAUCUGUUCUUGGCUUCUGCUAUAGUGAAGUGAGUGUGGUAUAUUGUACCAAAGCAAAGGUCUCUGGGGAAGGAGGGAAAAGGGAGUUUGUAGGGGGAGGGAAGCUUUGUGGUCCUGGUGCAUGAUGAAGUGAGUUGGGAUGAGAAACUGUACUCAUGUGUCAACAGCUGUACUUUAAGUCAUUAUGCCACGAGUAAUAUGAUAAAAGAAAAAAAAUAAAGAAGAAA